rnacentral:tRNA from 1 species
GCAUUUGUGGUUCAGUGGUAGGAUUCUUAACUGCCAUGCGGGAGACCCAGGUUUGAUUCCUGGCCAAUGCA